rnacentral:misc_RNA from 1 species
AUCGGAAAGGAAGGAGGGACUCGAGGUGAGUCCUCGGGUAACGUGUCGCCUCCAAAAACUCCCUGUAUGUUUGAUUGAGAAUAGCCCGUGCCGCUCUGACUUGCUUCCGACGUUCCCGCCUUAUCGAUUGUCGAGAUCGGUUAAGUCAAAGAUAGUUGUUCACUGAAGUGACAACAGUAUAUUAAAUGAAGGAAGCGAACAAAAUAAAACGAUUUUGAGUGAAUGACUUACUACUGGCUGUGCGUGAUCUGAACUCUUAGGCCGAAGGCAGAGAGCGAGACGUAGGUGUCGCAGUCGUAGUCGUAGGGUAAGGCAGAGAAAAACGUAGAGUCGUACAUGUUGAGUGACGUAGAGUAUACUAGUGGUGAAGAAAGUGCAACGGCAGAGAAAAUUUCUUGGAAUAUCUUUGAGUGCUACAAAAAAUAAAAAGAUGUCAGAUCAUUUUGAUUAUUGUAAAACUAUUGCGGAUGUAUCUGACGAAAGCAGUAUAAUUGACUGUGAUAAUGAUUGUGAUCCUACAUGUAUUACUAUUAAAGAAAAGACUGGUGAUGAGCUUCUCAUUGAAUUAUAUAGAGAACGCCCAUUUUUAUAUGAUAAAAGUAACAUUAAUUUUAAGGAUUGUAUAAUGAAACAAAAUGCUUGGAUUGAAAUAUCUAAAAUAAUGAUCCAAACUUGUGGUGACAUGUAUACUCCUUCGUAUUGUCAAAAAAGAUGUAUUUUAAUGAGAGAUCAAUAUAAUAGAGACAAAAGGAAGACUGAAACUGAAUCUAAAAGUGGAAGUGCUGCUACUAAAUCUACUCAAUUUCCUUUCUUUUCUCAGUUAGCAUUUUUAGACAAUGUAAUCAAAAGACGAAAGUAAAAAGCUACACUAAUUGCACAAAAUCUCAACCGAGUGUAAUUGAUGAAGAUAAUAGUACCGAGUCAGAAAAUGUUGCAAGUGGAUCAAAUAAGGAAAAUGAAAGUGUUAACGAGCAGCACAUUUAUAAUAUUAAAUAUGACAAAAACAAUUAUGCACCAAAGAUGAAAAAACGAAAGAUUGACGAAACAAAAGAAUUAGAACAAACAUUAAUGCAAAUGAGUCAUAGAAUAUCAAAUUAUAUGGAAAAUCAAGUUUCAACAGCAGGUAAUGCUUUCAUAGAAUUUAUAAAAGUGCUAUUUAACAAUAUUCCAGAAAAAGAGAAAAAUAUCAAAAAAAAAAA